rfam:Neptuniibacter sp. Phe_28 scaffold_819, whole genome shotgun sequence.
CGGAGUGUAGCGCAGCUUGGUAGCGCAUCUGGUUUGGGACCAGAGGGUCGUAGGUUCGAAUCCUAUCACUCCGA